AAGCUCAUUGGCAGCUGCAAGUCAAGAGCGGUAGCGUG
rfam:Erwinia tracheiphila strain BuffGH Etrach_2, whole genome shotgun sequence.